rnacentral:rRNA from 1 species
CCUACGGGCGGCUGCAGUGGGGAAUAUUGGACAAUGGGGGCAACCCUGAUCCAGCCAUGCCGCGUGUGUGAAGAAGGCCCUCGGGUUGUAAAGCACUUUCAGUGAGGAAGAACGCCUGGUGGUUAAUACCCAUCAGGAAAGACAUCACUCACAGAAGAAGCACCGGCUAACUCCGUGCCAGCAGCCGCGGUAAUACGGAGGGUGCGAGCGUUAAUCGGAAUUACUGGGCGUAAAGCGCGCGUAGGUGGCUUGAUAAGCCGGUUGUGAAAGCCCCGGGCUCAACCUGGGAACGGCAUCCGGAGCUGUCAAGCUAGAGAGCAGGAGAGGAAGGUGGAAUUGCCGGUGUUGCGGUGAAAUGCGUAGAGAGCGGAAGGAUUACCAGUGGCGAAGGAGCCCUUCUGGACUGUCACUGCCACUGUGGUGCGAGAUCGUGGGUAGCACACAGGAUAAGAAACACGAGGAGUA